AGUGAGCGCUGGCGGUAGGCCUAACACAUGCAAGUCGAACGGCAGCACAGUAAGAGCUUGCUCUUACGGGUGGCGAGUGGCGGACGGGUGAGGAAUACAUCGGAAUCUACUUUUUCGUGGGGGAUAACGUAGGGAAACUUACGCUAAUACCGCAUACGACCUACGGGUGAAAGCAGGGGAUCUUCGGACCUUGCGCGAUUGAAUGAGCCGAUGUCGGAUUAGCUAGUUGGCGGGGUAAAGGCCCACCAAGGUGACGAUCCGUAGCUGGUCUGAGAGGAUGAUCAGCCACACUGGAACUGAGACACGGUCCAGACUCCUACGGGAGGCAGCAGUGGGGAAUAUUGGACAAUGGGCGCAAGCCUGAUCCAGCCAUACCGCGUGGGUGAAGAAGGCCUUCGGGUUGUAAAGCCCUUUUGUUGGGAAAGAAAAGCAGCAGGUUAAUACCCCGCUGUUCUGACGGUACCCAAAGAAUAAGCACCGGCUAACUUCGUG
rnacentral:rRNA from 1 species